rnacentral:rRNA from 1 species
UACGUAGGGUCCGAGCGUUGUCCGGAAUUAUUGGGCGUAAAGGGCUCGUAGGCGGUUUGUCGCGUCGGGAGUGAAAACCAGGUGCUUAACACCUGGCCUGCUUUCGAUACGGGCAGACUAGAGGCAUUCAGGGGAGAACGGAAUUCCUGGUGUAGCGGUGAAAUGCGCAGAUAUCAGGAGGAACACCGGUGGCGAAGGCGGUUCUCUGGGCAGUAACUGACGCUGAGGAGCGAAAGCGUGGGGAGCGAACAGG